UACGUAGGGUGCAAGCGUUGUCCGGAAUUAUUGGGCGUAAAGAGCUCGUAGGCGGUCUGUCGCGUCUGCUGUGAAAACUCAGGGCUUAACCCUGAGCUUGCAGUGGGUACGGGCAGACUAGAGUGCGGUAGGGGAGACUGGAAUUCCUGGUGUAGCGGUGAAAUGCGCAGAUAUCUGGAGGAACACCGGUGGCGAAAGCGGCUCACUGGACCGUGUCUGACGCUGAGACGCGAAAGCGUGGGGAGCGAACAGG
rnacentral:rRNA from 1 species